rnacentral:lncRNA from 1 species
AUGCAUCGGGCGAGGGUGUCCCAGGUUUGUUUGCUCGCAGGGACACUGCCUCGGGCCCUCUCGGGCUCACCUCAGAGCUCCGGCCGCCGUCUCCCUUACCGCCAGACUCGAGUCCAGCAGCAGCGGCCCGAGCCGGCGCACAGCAUCCCGACGGGCUAAGUCUGGUAGUGCGGGCCGCUGCUGCACUAGCCGGGCCAGUCCCGCGCAGGCGCACUCGCGGACCUCGGCGCUCGGGUGCUGGAGCUGCGGGAACCGAGACGUCAGAGUCGCGUAGUGAGCACGCGCGCUGCAGCACCUCGCUCCCGGGCCCCCGGGCCCCCGGCCGCCCGCCGCCCGAGCCUGGCCAUGCCCUCGUCCCACCUUCUCCAGAAGCUCCGCCGCGGGCCCAUCGUCCUCCUCGUCCCCAGUCCCGUUCGACGCGGCCGCCGCCUCGGCCUGA